rnacentral:rRNA from 1 species
UACGUAGGUGGCAAGCGUUGUCCGGAAUUAUUGGGCGUAAAGCGCGCGCAGGUGGUUUCUUAAGUCUGAUGUGAAAGCCCACGGCUCAACCGUGGAGGGUCAUUGGAAAACUGGGGGAACUUGAGUGCAGGAGAGAAGAGUGGAAUUCCACGUGUAGCGGUGAAAUGCGUAGAUACCGGGAGGAACACCCGCGGCGAAGGCGGCCCGCUGGGCCAUCCCUGACGCUGAGGCGCGAAGGCCAGGGGAGCGAACGGG